rnacentral:rRNA from 1 species
AGCGAACGCUGGCGGCAGGCCUAACACAUGCAAGUCGAACGGACUCUUCGGAGUUAGUGGCGGACGGGUGAGUAACACGUGGGAACGUGCCUUUAGGUUCGGAAUUGCUCCUGGAAACGGGUGGUAAUGCCGAAUGUGCCCUUCGGGGGAAAGAUUUAUCGCCUUUAGAGCGGCCCGCGCCUGAUUAGCUAGUUGGUGAG